rnacentral:lncRNA from 1 species
AUCCCCCUUUGGCACGGACACCCACCGCUGCGGGACUGCAACAAGGAGCUGCACCCUGCCGUGGUCAGCAUGGCUCUGUGUGCCAGCUGUGUGCUGCUGGAAAGCACCCGAGCGGUUACGGGUGGGAGAGUGGCAGAGGAAAUCAUCCAACAUCUGCAGGGAUAGCACAAGGCAGGCUCAGUGUGACAGCUGUGUCAUUGUGCAGCAGACAGAUGCUGAGCAGAGCACAGCAGGGCCAGGACGUUCUGACCAGGGGGAGGUGGAGAGUGCACAUGAGAUAAGGCACAGCUGCAGGACAGAGCAUGAGACCCAGCACGUGCAACAGCUGCAAGAAAUCCUGCCUGCCUGUCUGCAUAGAAAAGCACACAAUCAGCCCGAAAG